rnacentral:rRNA from 1 species
AUACGGAGGAUCCGAGCGUUAUCCGGAUUUAUUGGGUUUAAAGGGAGCGUAGGUGGAUUGUUAAGUCAGUUGUGAAAGUUUGCGGCUCAACCGUAAAAUUGCAGUUGAAACUGGCAGUCUUGAGUACAGUAGAGGUGGGCGGAAUUCGUGGUGUAGCGGUGAAAUGCUUAGAUAUCACGAAGAACUCCGAUUGCGAAGGCAGCUCACUAGACUGUUACUGACACUGAUGCUCGAAAGUGUGGGUAUCAAACAGGAUUAGAUACCCUGGUAGUCCACACAGUAAACGAUGAAUACUCGCUGUUUGCGAUAUACAGUAAGCGGCCAAGCGAAAGCAUUAAGUAUUCCACCUGGGGAGUACGCCGGCAACGGUGAAACUCAAAGGAAUUGACGGG